AUUGAACGCUGGCGGAAUGCUUUACACAUGCAAGUCGAGCGGCAGCGCGGGGCAACCUGGCGGCGAGCGGCGAACGGGUGAGUAAUACAUCGGAACGUACCCAGUUGUGGGGGAUAGCCCGGCGAAAGCCGGAUUAAUACCGCAUACGACCUGAGGGUGAAAGGGGGGGAUCGCAAGACCUCUCGCAGUUGGAGCGGCCGAUGGCGGAUUAGCUAGUUGGUAGGGUAAAGGCCUACCAAGGCGACGAUCCGUAGCGGGUCUGAGAGGACGACCCGCCACACUGGAACUGAGACACGGUCCAGACUCCUACGGGAGGCAGCAGUGGGGAAUUUUGGACAAUGGGGGCAACCCUGAUCCAGCCAUUCCGCGUGAGUGAAGAAGGCCUUCGGGUUGUAAAGCUCUUUCGGCAGGAACGAAACGGUCCUUUCUAAUACAAGGGGCUAAUGACGGUACCUGAAGAAGAAGCACCGGCUAACUACGUGCCAGCCGCCGCCGUAAGAC
rnacentral:rRNA from 1 species